UUUAAUAAUGAAGGAGCAGAGAUGAACCUGGAGCACAUUUUGGAGGACCUCGCGGUGCUCAAGACUUACAGAGUGAUGUUCGGCUCUUGACGCAGUCUCCCAGGGCAGUUCACCUCAGACAGCUUUCCCAUCGUUACAGGCCUGUCUCACUCCUCCUGGGCUGCUCUUAAAACAGAUUACAGGUAAGAGGAUUGCGUCACUUAACCUGGCAAGGCUGCCCAGAUGACC